AUCAAAUAGUAUUUGGGUUAAAAUUUUUUCCAAUUAUGAGCGUUAGCCCCCAUCUAAGCCCUAGCCCCCGUUUAACUACCAACUAAAUUUGUGUGUGUGUGUGUGUGUUUUGCGCCACAACAG